AAAAAUGAGCGGGAUUCAUUGAAUUUUAGAGCCUGUCUCUGUAUCCAUUCCUUGCGGAGACAAAAGAACAAAAACAAAAAAAUCAGGACCCACGAAAUGUGCAUACUCUUCAAAACUGUUAUGAAGGUGUCAUUUGCGGCGUCCUCUCUUUUGUUAGAACACAUUUGACUACCUGAACAGCCUUGAAAUAGUAGGAAUUUGGGCUGAGGUGUUGCUUACUGUCGCAAGCAAUAUAUAAGUUCGGAUACAAGAUUUCCUCCCAAUGAAUGAACACAUACACACUAACUUCGUAUUUGUGAAACCUAUACUAUCCAAUUCAUGAAUCUGUGAAUAAUGUAAAGAAGAGUAGAGGUAUGCUUGCAAUUAAGUGUGUUUCAGCAAAUCAGCGGCCAGCUGCUAAGACGCACGAACUUCCUUGGAGUAAAUAUCGGCACAUGAAGAUAGUGUGUCACACAACAAUCGGAUGGUCACCUCCAAUUUCAACCUCCAUCCCAGAGACUGUAGUAACUCCAUUAUGAUGUGUCGGAGUGGCACCGCUCGUGGGGUCGACAUGUAUACAUUGUAUGUAUUUUUAAACCAAACUAUUCAAAUAACUGGAUUGACACUCGUGGCGUGGACCGAAUCUGACAUGGGCGAUUGCUGCUGUGAGCAGUCAUUGUGUAUUCAUCGGUGUUCAUGCAGGGCACCACUCACUUGCCAUAAAGAGACCUUUCUUCUGUGUGGGAUUCGCUUAACAUACAAGGAAAAGAAUCCGCUGCCAUUAUUUAAAGCGCUGGAGGAAAAAGAGAAGCUGGUGGUCAUAUGGUUCUUCUAUCUGUUCCUCGUUCUCUCCCAACGGACUUCGUGUGUGUAGGGCAAGGUGCACGGCAUGUCGCUUGAAGAACUUCACCAGCUUCGUUUUUUCCUUUUUCUCGCGACGGUAGUUCUCGUAGUUUUACAGUGUCACCCAUGUCUCCCUGGGCUUCAAUAAAAUACACAGAUGAAGGCCACGGAAAGCGGAAACGCAAGCUUGAGAACUACGAUGGUGUUCCCCGAGCAUCUUCUUUCCUUCCUCUUCCUCUGGAAUAUUUAGUUGACCAAAGUUUUGUAAUUCCUACAUGAGUGCGGCGCAGAUUUGAGACUUCACUUCCCAUGAUCGUGAUAAACUAUAUCAGUGCUAUUCGGCAAAUUAGAAAAAGAAUUGGUGAAGGAAGAGGCACUGAAUCCUACUAGUCUGACAAUUCCGUUACUUCUGGAGAUUCUUCUCCUAAAGAAAACAGAAAUAGUCUCCUCAUGGUUUUCAAGAUCGAGAAGCAAACAGCAAUGCUUCCAGAACUCCUCUUGUUUUCUAGAAUUUUUCUGGCGCAGAUAUGAAGCCGCUACAAGACAGGAAUGGAGACAUGGCGGCAAAAGGUGAAGAAGAAACCUCUAAAGAAGGGCAAGUAAGGCAAGGCAGUGCCAAGUGAGGACUCCUCUUCGCCGGUGAUGAGCCAGGAAUCGCACACAAAAAUUCUAGGAAACGAGUCGCCACUUCCAGGGAGUGAAAGGGAAGCGCAAAAGCAAACCAUCUUCGAAACAACGAUGAAUCUCACGGUUGCACCAUGCUCCACCAACCGGCUCCAAUUUACUGUCGAGACAGGAGAUCACUUAAGCACAAUGGAACCAAUUGGUGGAGAUUACUGAAGUGAUCCCUGUCCUCCGAGGUACUUCGUAACCCAGAUCGAAACCACUAUCUCUUACUAUUAGUCUCGAUAUGACAAAGUCUGGGUUCAUGACUGGUUGAAUAUUGUGGGGGCAGGCGAGAGUGGCAGCAAGUCGCAAGACCACGGCCAAGUGGGGGCGACGUGCCCCAGUCGAAGAAGACGAUCGAAGCUCCG
rnacentral:lncRNA from 1 species